CGUGGAGCCUGCGGCUUAAUUUG
rnacentral:misc_RNA from 1 species